rnacentral:sRNA from 1 species
AUAUCAGUCGUGGGGUCGAAUGCAUCAAUCGGAUAGCCAGGGCAUUCGAGCUCCUUUUGGGCAAAUAUUGUUAUAAAAACCUGGCCAAUAGUACCAGUAUUCCCGUAUUUCCACUAUGCCUGGGGCUCUGGAGAAAAUAAAUAUGGAAUGUUCCUUAACAGACAGCGUUGUGCUCAGAGCAUCUGCUGUGGACUCCAGAGGUAGUUAUUGGCCGGCUAGCCACAAGACACCAACAGGUCGGCCACAUCGCAGGCUCAGUUAUGAUGAGCCACCAGC